UGGGGAAUAUUGCACAAUGGGCGCAAGCCUGAUGCAGCGACGCCGCGUGGGGGAUGAAGGCCUUCGGGUUGUAAACUCCUUUCAACCAUGACGAAGCGUGAGUGACGGUAGUGGUAGAAGAAGCACCGGCUAACUACGUGCCAGCAGCCGCGGUAAUACGUAGGGUGCGAGCGUUGUCCGGAAUUACUGGGCGUAAAGAGCUCGUAGGUGGUUUGUCGCGUCGUCUGUGAAAUUCCGGGGCUUAACUCCGGGCGUGCAGGCGAUACGGGCAUAACUUGAGUGCUGUAGGGGAGACUGGAAUUCCUGGUGUAGCGGUGAAAUGCGCAGAUAUCAGGAGGAACACCGAUGGCGAAGGCAGGUCUCUGGGCAGUAACUGACGCUGAGGAGCGAAAGCAUGGGU
rnacentral:rRNA from 1 species